GAUGAACGCUGGCGGCGUGCUUAACACAUGCAAGUCGAACGGAAAGGCCCAAGCUUGCUUGGGUACUCGAGUGGCGAACGGGUGAGUAACACGUGGGUGAUCUGCCCUGCACUUCGGGAUAAGCCUGGGAAACUGGGUCUAAUACCGGAUAGGACCACAUUUUGGAUGGUGUGGUGGAAAGUUUUUCGGUGUGGGAUGAGCUCGCGGCCUAUCAGCUUGUUGGUGGGGUAAUGGCCUACCAAGGCGUCGACGGGUAGCCGGCCUGAGAGGGUGUACGGCCACAUUGGGACUGAGAUACGGCCCAGACUCCUACGGGAGGCAGCAGUGGGGAAUAUUGCACAAUGGGCGCCAGCCUGAUGCAGCGACGCCGCGUGGGGGAUGACGGCCUUCGGGUUGUAAACUCCUUUCGCUAGGGACGAAGCGUUUUUGUGACGGUACCUGGAGAAGAAGCACCGGCUAACUACGUG
rnacentral:rRNA from 1 species